rnacentral:rRNA from 1 species
CACGUAGGGGGCAAGCGUUGUCCGGAUUUAUUGGGCGUAAAGAGCUCGUAGGCGGCUAUGUAAGCCGGGUGUUAAAUCCCCCAGGCUCAACCUGGGACACCACCCCGAUACUGCAUUGGCUAGAGUCCGGUAGGGGAGCGUGGAAUUCCUGGUGUAGCGGUGAAAUGCGUAGAUAUCGGAAGGAACACCAGUGGCGAAAGCG